GCUACCCUCGCUCUCAGCGGCGGCCAGGUGCGUGCGCGUCCGCGCUCCCGGCGGCGGGGGAGGGGCGGACGCGCAGUGGGCACCGGUGGCCUCCCCCGCCCUUGCGUGAGCCCCGACUAGGGAAGACCGCGGACGGUGGGAGGACUGAGGCCCGACAGGGAAGGGCCGGCCCGGGUCCCGCAGCGGAUCACGGCAGGGCCGGGACUCGAACCCGGGCUCCCGGGGGCCGACUGUGGGCCGGGAGCGUCCCUGCGGCGACGGCGCGCGCCCGCACUCUGACCGCGGCCUGACCCCCGGCUGCCGGCGCGCCGUGGGGCUGCGGCCCAGAGGCCAGUGGGAGGGGCGCGGGGGGCCCCCGGAGCGAGCAUGUGACCCGAGGCCGCGCGCUCGGAACCAGCCCCGGCCCGACGCCCUUGGCUGGCACCUGCUUCUCCCCCACCGGCGUCUUCCGCGGCUCUCGGGGCCGCGCCCCCCGCACCAGCUCCCGAGCCUUGGCCUUCGCCCGAGCGAUCUCCCGCCUAGAACCCCGCGCCCACCUGUGCCACCUGUGCCCACCUGCGCCAGCAUCCCUCGAGGUCCAGCUCCAGCGUCCCCGGGGAGGGUCCGGUCCUCGUCUCCAGGGCCUGGGUCUCUCCCUGCAGUCCCGUCUCCAGAGGCGCCGCCCCCUCGGGCCUGAGCGCCGGAGUGACAGAGCCCUGGGCAGGGCCCUGAGCAGACCCUCAGUAAAGGCUGCCAGGGGGGUAGGCACCCGCUCGGGGCCCCCCACAUGGUGCCAUUCGCCCGGACCGCGGCGGAGAGCAGACAGGGGGACUGAGGUGCUCCCCGCGGCAGCACCGAACUCCCACGGGCAUCAGAAGGCAAGGUCUGCGGAUGGCCCCAGACACAGAAGGCGUAAGCCGCCCUGGGAAGCGCCGGCCCAGUGGAGAAGGCCGCCGCGAGGUCAGGGUCAGUCUGGAGCCUGUCUGGUUCUCGGAGAGGCUUCUGGCUGCUGCAGAGUGGGGGCAGAGCAAGGGAGGAGGCCAGGGAGCUCCCACCAGCCCAUUCCUGGGGAGCCACCCCUGUCCCUCAGAGGCCACGGGGGCUCGUGUUUGCGAGUGUGGACUUUCCAGUUAGACAGACUUGGUUCAGCACCGCCUCCGCCACACCCUCGCCUGGGAUCCUAAACAAGCCGCAUCUUCUCUGCAUCGUAGUGUGCUUGUCUCUGUGAUGGGAGAGUGUAGGGAUAAUAGUGCCUGCCUCGUGUCAAGAGGCUUUUUCGGAUGCGAGGGAUGGAAAGCGCCCAGCACAAUUUGUGGCACGUGGUAGCUGUUCCAUAAAUAGCAUUCUGUAGUUGGGCCGUGAUUAGCAAGGAGGCUUAGUGUACAGACGUCCCUGGGAUUUUUAAACCUAUCCACACCUGGGCAUGAAUGGCUAAUGACACCCCUCUUCUGGGAGCAGAGUUUGGAGAGAAGAGGAGGCUCUAGAUAAUGAGUGAUCCUAGGCUGAAAGUCAGAGACAUACUUAAGUUCUAAUUCUAGCUGCUCUGCUUCUGACCUCCUGUGGGGCCUUAGGCAACUUGCACUCCUUCUCUGGGCCUUGGUUUCCCCAGCUUUGACAGCUGAUGUCCCUGAGUCACGAAGGGGUACUUCUGGCCCACGAAGCCUGACAAAGGACAGGUUUUGCCAAGGCUCUUCAGAGAGGUGCCCCCCGGGGUAAGGUGAUCCAAAUGAGCCUGCUCUUCCAGGAAGGGAAGCAUUGGCACAAGGGCUCCCCUCUUGCCUGCAGGACCUGUGGGCACAGACAGUGGCAGCUACCGUGCCUCACACCAAAGCAUCCUAUAUCCUCCAGGUCCAGGCCCUGGUGACACAGCCUUGAGCAAAACAGUGAGGUCCCUGUCCUCACAGAGUUUGUAUUCCGGCCAGGCAAGAAGACGAUAGACAAGAACACAAAUGCUG
rnacentral:lncRNA from 1 species